rnacentral:rRNA from 1 species
AUUGAACGCUGGCGGCAGGCCUAACACAUGCAAGUCGAGCGGAUGAAGGGAGCUUGCUCCUGGAUUCAGCGGCGGACGGGUGAGUAAUGCCUAGGAAUCUGCCUGGUAGUGGGGGAUAACGUCCGGAAACGGGCGCUAAUACCGCAUACGUCCUGAGGGAGAAAGUGGGGGAUCUUCGGACCUCACGCUAUCAGAUGAGCCUAGGUCGGAUUAGCUAGUUGGUGGGGUAAAGGCCUACCAAGGCGACGAUCCGUAACUGGUCUGAGAGGAUGAUCAGUCACACUGGAACUGAGACACGGUCCAGACUCCUACGGGAGGCAGCAGUGGGGAAUAUUGGACAAAGGGCGAAAGCCUGAUCCAGCCAUGCCGCGUGUGUGAAGAAGGUCUUCGGAUUGUAAAGCACUUUAAGUUGGGAGGAAGGGCAGUAAGUUAAUACCUUGCUGUUUUGAUGUUACCAACAGAAUAAGCACCGGCUAACUUCGUG